CGGCAGAGGUGGGAGCCGGGGCGCUGCCGAGCGAAAGGCGCAGGAGGCGGCCGCGCAGGGCACCUGUUUCCACGAGUCCAACUUCUGAGCGCGAGGCGCCGGCUUUGCUCGAGCGUCUGCUUAGCUGAAAGGCAAACCCCCGUCUUUCGCGGGGAGGGGGAAGUAGCAGGAGCUGCUGAUGCAUCAGGAGGAGGUGGAGGAGGAAAUCAAGCCGGGAGGCAUCGUGUUCCUUUUGAAAGCGUUUCUGAGUGGGCUCCGGGAGGUAAUUGCUGAGAAAAGCCCUGCUGGAAAAUGGCUGUGAUUUUUAAUCUAUUCAAAUACCUAAAAUCCACAUGAUUGGACUAGCAGAGUGACUGGGACGUCAAGUGGAUGGUGGUUUUGCUCCUUCAUGCAUAGUCAACACGUAAUUCACCUGCUACGCCUAUACAAGGAUGGAUGAUUUAACUUCAGAUAGUUGUGAUUUAUUAAGACUCAGCCCACUUCUGCAGACUUUACUCCAGCUGAGUAAUGCUCAUUUCCGCCACUAUUCCACUGGUUUUAAUGAGAUUACUGGUGUAGUAAGGGAUUGUUCGAUGUGAGUAAAAUUGGCAGAAUCAGGGUCAGAUUAAGGCAAUCCCCAGACUCACCGCCAUAUGGGCUCCCUUUAGUCCGAUCCCUGCCAUAGCCUUGAACUCCACACCAUCGCACCACCUGGGGUGCUGGUCCUCAAAUGCAAUCUUCUGGGGUGGGGUGGGGUCUACCACCAUUUCCUUUUGAGUAGGCUAGGCCACCCCUGGUCUCCUCCCUACUCCUUGUCUCCAGGUGAUCUUGGGUCCAUCCAAGAGGAGAAAGGACUCAUCCUCCCCCCACCUGACUGCAGGACUCCCUAUGUACCCGGCACCACCCAAACAAAACCAGGAUGGGAUGGCAGCAGCAAGAGACCUCUACCAAUGUGAUGUAGGUGUGCUUCUCCUAAUCAACCCAUAUGCAGGAACCCCAUCUCCAAGGAGAUAGUAACUCUCCCAACCAUUCUUAUACCAAGGGGUGAGGCAAUGGUCCUGACCCUGCAAUCCAAUCUACAUGCACCAUCUUUUUGCCUGUUCAGAGCCCUCUUCAAUGGGAUUCUGCCCAGGUGCAAGGAUCCAUUCAAGUGCAGAUUGUAUAAUCCUAGUUUUUGUACUAACUCAUCCACUGCAACUGACCUGAUACACACAAUACUUUAAAAUGUUAACAUGUAUUUUUAAAAGUGUCUAAAUUUGUAUUUGUGCAGUCACACAUGUCAAUUAAAUUUUCCACUUUUAGAGCAGUGAAAAUAAAGAUAAAAGUAAAUCUGUUGUUAAAUAAAAAUGGCGGGGGGGGGGAGAAGAGAAAUUUAUUUAAUGCUGUAUUACAAGUCUUAUGUCAAAAGCAGAGGAUAUGUCUGCUUAGGCUAGGGUGACCAGAUAGGGACAGUCCCGAUAUUUGGGGCAUUUUCUUCUAUAGGCGCCUAUUACCCCACACCCCCGUCCCGAUUUUUCACACUUGCUGUCUGGUUACCCUAGCUUAGGCCCUGAUGCGGCAAACACUUAUGUACAUGCUUAAUUUUACUACCACAAGUGACUUCAAUGGGACUACUUCCAGUAGUAAAUUUCAGUAGUAAAAUAGAAGUUUUUGUUAGGAUUGAGGCUAUAGAAUGUAAGAUGUCUGAAGAAGGGGCAGUCUUUUGUUGUGUUCAUAGAGUGCUCAGCACAAUGGUCCCCUGAUGCUUGACUGGUGUUUUAGGUGCUACUGCAAUACAAAUGAUUAAUAAUAACAAUAAUGAUGCAAAAGAGAAUUAAGGUACUCUUUAGACCUACUGGACCAAUGUGACACUCAGCUUUAGGGUGACAGAAUUAGGCUCUGGAUAGGCACUGCAUGGCUGGUCUGUUCAGCACCUUAGUAACUCUUUAGACAAACACUCUCUCAGUUUUUAUCUGCUGGAGUGUAAAUUAUCCUUCACUUUUUAUACCUUAAUUUUAUUUUAUUUUAUUUUUAUUUUUCCUGAGUGAAGCAAUACAAAUCAAGAGGCUGUCACUGAGCAUCUGUAUUAUUUACAUGGGGCCAAUCUGCACACUGGCUCUCAGUGAUGGAUUGCUGAAUAUAUGUGGAUUUCCCAGAAAUUUCAGAGAACGCUGAUGGGGUAUAUAAGCCCUGCACCUUGUUCAAUGACAAGUUAAAAUAUUUCCCUGGAGUAAGAGAAGGAACUUGUUCUUCCAAAGAUAUUGUUUCAGAUUCCAGCAACAGAAACAAGUUAUUCUAAGAGAUGGAGUAAUAAGGCUAAUGGAGAUAGAUCCCAGCUAAUUUGCCUAUUUUGGGGCUAUUAAACAUACCCAGAGGAAGUAUGUGAAAAGUGUAGUAUUUCUUUCAAGCAAGGAAAGCUUGCCCAUGUUUUGGCAAGAUUCAGUUAGGAAUUUACUUCAAGAAAUACAUUUCUUAUUCUCUUUCCUCCAAAUGUCUUUGAGAACCUGAUUCUGCCAUCCAUACCUGCACUGAGUGAUAGCUUAUUCUGCAAAGUUUAUGGGUCAGAUUCUGAUGUCCUUAGGUUGGGUAGCACCCCAAGUUUAGUAGGACUAGCAUGAGUAACAAUACUGAAAUCUGCUACCAAAUUGAUGGUGCACAUGGGACUAUUUGUGUAGUAAGCUACCACUCAGUACAAGUACUGAGGAGCAGAGUCUACCCCAAAGUAAAGAGGUCCAACUGGUCAGUGACAUUUCUGAUUUAAUUCUUGGCCUACGUUCAGUUCUUCUCUUUCCUCCCCAUCCCCUCACCACUCAAUUCAUCUUUUCCUCCUUCAAUGUAUUUUAAAGUAUUAUUUUAAUGACAAAUGUCAUCUUACCCUUUGGAUAUGUCUUAAAUCCAUGAUCACUUAAUAUGAUAUGAACUAAUUUUUGAGGAUUAAACAUUUUAAUCUUGA